rnacentral:misc_RNA from 1 species
AGCUUGUUAGGAACGCUGCAGUUACUCUAGUAUCGCGAGGUCUCGAAACGGGGUUGUGCUGUCACUACCAGAGGCACGUUGAGAAUGACAAGGAGGGGAGUUAAGGCACUGACAUCAAAAUGGCGGCGUUAACUUUGUGGCGUUGCUCAGCAUGGCUGCCUGUAGUGAAUGUCCAAAAUGGCGGAUUCAUUUUUUUCCGCAGUGUCCAAGUGGCGGGAAGGCCACAUCCUGGUGGCGUCUUUGUUCUAAUGUGCAGCAUGGCGGUGGAAAUAUUCUGUUACAUGCUAAAAGAUGGCGGCUAGAGCACUUGUGUAACAUGGCGGCCUUUGUCUUUGCUGUGUGUGUUUCCUGGCAGGUAGCCUCGGGGAUAGUAUGGCAGGCCUUAUUAUGUGGAAGUCUUGGCAAUUUGUCACGUGGAUGUCUUGGCAGAGGGUCCACAGGGGCGUUCGUCUGCAUGUUCUUGGCGGGCUCAGCACCUGGUGGUAUUGCCGCAUUGUUAAAGAUGGCGGGCUUUGCCGCGUUUGUGGCGGAAAGCCCGAAGGAGAAACAUGGGGUGGGGAGUGCUCAAUUGCUGCUUUACAUACCCAAUCAGAGAGCAUGUUAGAAAAGAGUAUGACCAAUUAGUGGAAGAUGGAAUUACACUGGUGAGUUAGCAUGGCUCCUCACUGAAGUCUUUUUUCAGCCAGUGAGAAGGCAGUAUGGAGCAGCCACGUUUCUAAGUCGGCUCCCCGUGGGUGGUGCCCAAGGUCCUUCCAAGGACAUGUGGCCUUUCCACCUCCCUCCCUCCUUCCCUGCUCCCUCCGCUCCAGCAUUACCUCUUGCACUGCUGGGUUUUGACUGUGCUGGCUGAACCUACACAAUUCCUCUUCAUUGCUGAAGUGGCCUGAGGUUAGACUUACCUGGCCCCCUUGCCCCAGGCCCCGCUCUUCCACUCUGUGGCCCCCGGAGCAGUGCUCCAUGCUGGCCAAGUGUGAACAUGGUGAUCAGUCGAGGCAAGGACCAGAAUGGAUCGCAGAUGAUCGUUGACCACAGGUGGCAGAAGAGGAAUCCUUGCCUUUCUCAAGAGGAACAUCUACCCCGUGGCUAAUGCUGGGGUCGGGAUAUCUACCCCUGGCUAUGGCUGGGGUCGGAUUUUGAUUUCUAUUUAUUUCUUGGAUGUCAGUCAUAUAUAGUUUGAUUGUGUGGUUUGCAAGUAUUCUACUUAAACCUUAAGUGACUGAAUGGAAAUGUAUUUAGGGACUUUGUUUAUCUGUAGGAUUCAUUUUAAGGCCAAUUAAUGAGUUCAUUUUCGGUGUCCCUAAAAUUUCUUAAUGUUUUCCAUUUCUUUUUUGUAAAUUGCUUAAAAGCACUUUGGCUUUAGUUAUUUAGUCAAAUAAUUUGACAUUUAAUAAGCUUUUACUACUUUUUAAAAAUCUGACAUGGGUUUUUGAGGAUAUAACACAGAUAGAAUUAACUAAAAAUUUGUCAAUGUGAAAAACUGUGGAAAGGAAUACUUGAAGGUCCACUCUAGUCCAGGCCUUGCUUUGUUCCCAUUCUUAGUGCCGCACUUACUGACAAACGAUUUGCCUAUCAUGCCGGCAACUCGAAUUGCCGUGGAUUUGUUUCCUCUAUUCAAACGUAUACUGGAAUAUUACUGACCACGGUUUCAGUUUUCAAUGGUGCCCUACCACCACAACGUGGCUCCUGCCCAGCCUAAUCCCAGCAACUCCCCAUCCAGCCCCUGUUCCAGCCCCUGCUCCAGCCCCACCCAUGGCCCAGCCCCUACCCCAGCCCUGCCCCCCCCCCCCAGCCUCCCCUUUUAACCCCAUGGCCCAGCCCUGCUUCUUCCCAAAUUUUCAUCGAUUCACCACUCAAAAUAAUUUGUCCCAUGCUCAUCCACUGGACUCUGGGACACCCAUUUGUCUCUAGCAUUCAUUGCUGAUAUUCACCACUGACUGCCGGAAUCAUUAUUUUCAAUCAAUGUGCACAAUCCUACCUGUCCAUUGGCCCACGUUGGAACAAAUACCCGCACCCUUUGUAUUAAUGUUAGGAAAUGUUAAUUUAUCAAAAGCAUCAUAUCAGGCCAUUACUGCCCAUGAUUCUAAGUCCUCUGCCCUUAAGGAAGGAGAAACCAUUCUGUUAUUGCCGCAAAAAUCACAGUCGCAAUUUCCAUACAGUGCUUAUGUUGACCACCAAAACUCUGCUCUGAGUGAACUUCUAAUUACCCACAAAUCCACCCAUUGGAUUAGUUCCCGGCCUAAAACCUUUUGCCCUCAUUAAUGGGCACUGAAAAUCCAAGUCUUUUACUUGAACGUUAACAUGCUUAAUCCCAAUGGUCACAGCCUUGCAUAUUAAACAAAGGUACCCUAUCACUUUCGCCCGCCUGGGGUAGUCCAGGGGUUCUUGAGCACAUAAAUACCAAAUUGUAGCUGUACAUGGUCUCACUUAUCAACAAUCCUCCACCUCAUUUGCAGUGCUGUUAGGCAGUGCUGACUACCUGAGACCAUGUUUCAUGAAUUAAUAAUGAGUAGAACUCCAAUUUUCCAUUCCCCUGUUCUUUACACAGGUCCUUUGCAACUUCUUAACACUACAGCAGAGUUGCUCAUCUGCAAAGCCUUUUCCCUUGAAUAUUAAUGGAUAUGAUCAUUAUUCAUGGUCCCCUCAAAUAGACUAUACCCACCCUUGCUCAUUUCAUUGUUCUUAGGUAGUACAGAUUACCUACCACCUUGCAGUAAUCUGUAAAUUCCUACAGCUUAUGCUCCCACUUAAAAGUCUAAGGUAUCCCUUAUCUCUAUGCUAUAGUUCAGGAGUUUUGACUACCCGUCUCUUAAAUAGUGAAUGUGCACAAUUGCGUACAUCCUGUGCAAUAAAAAAAUGGAUUUCCACCCCAUCUCACUGUCUGUGGGAUAUUAUUUCAAGAACUAAAGAACCAGUUUGCACAGGAGCUGUUGCCCAGGUCCUGUCCAUUGGAAAGGACCACUGUGUUCCAUUCCAUGCUAUAUGGGCAGAUCACUCAAAGACAAUUCUCUUGAAUUGAUGAUGUUCAAAAAUGCAUUUGUCCUUGUCCUGUUAACUAGCCCCAUCCACUUAUCUUGUAUUUAAGCGGGGACCUUACCUUUAGAAGUUUGCGUUGGAUAGUCGCUGGACUGGAGCCUUUGCUGUCUGGAACCUUAUGUUACCAAGAGUGUACUAGUUGCCAAAAGCCCCUCUCCCGGAAAUUGUUUUUGAGCAAAUUUAUAAUCUCCAGUGUCUCCUGUUAACCUAAAACCCCACCCUCUUCUAAUUCCCUUUGCAUUACUGAAGAGGGUACUUGAGACUUAAUACACUUGAAUUGCAACUAUAGUCCUAAUGUUCGGCUACGAUCGGAAUCCCUGCAAGUCACUUUGCAUUACCACAGAAGCUACUUGAGAUUGUUAAUGUGCUUAAAUAUACAUAGUGUCAGUGUAGAAUUCCUUGCCCUUCAAUUUCCUUUUCACUACUACAGUUAUUUAGAGUUGUUAAUGUACUCAUUUGCAGCUGUGGUCGCUUCUGUUUUUCCAAUUUGUACUCACUCCUGUGCACUUUGCGUUACAAAGGAGAGUACUUGAGACUGUUAAAGCUACUUAAUUGUAGGUGUGGUCAUUCGUUACGCUAAGAUUCCAUCCCCUUCUAUUUUCUGUAUAUUAUCUGGAAUGGUGUUUUGACUCUUAAGGUCCUAAUUGGAUCAGUGGUCCCCUGCUCCUACUGUCUUUGCAUUACCGUAGAGGCAUUAGGAACUGUUAAUAUGCUCAGUGCGGUCCUUUUCUGCUACUGUAAUAUCCUAGUCCCUUGUACUUCCUUUGUAAGGUGGCAGAGGUACUUGGACUGUUAAAGUGCUUAAUUAUAGCUGUGGUCCAUUCUGUAUGUGUAGGAUACCAACACCUCCCUUUGCUUUACAUGAGACUGUAUGUGAAACUAUGAAAAAGGGCUUGAUUAUACCUGUGGUUCCUUCUGUUAGGGAAGUUUGAAUGCCCUCCUAUUCUGCAUUACAGCAGAGGCUACUUGGCGCUAUUAAAGUGCUUCACUGCAGCUGUGGUCCCUUGUGUUACUGCAGUUUCACAGAACGUAUUUUGGAAGCUUUGCAUUAAAGCAGAGGAUUCUUGGGACUGUUAAGUGCUUCCCUGCAGCUGUGGUCCCUUGUGUUACUGCAGUUUCACAGAACGUAUUUUGGAAGCUCUGCAUUAAAGCAGAGGAUUCUUGGGACUGUUAAGUGCUUCCCUGCAGCUGCGGUCCCUUGUGUUAUUGCAGUUUCGCAGAACGUAUUUUGGAAGCUUUGCAUUAAAGCAGAGGAUUCUUGGGCCCGUUUCACAGGCCUUAUUUAGAACCUUUGCAUUAAAGCAGAGUAUUCUUGGGACUGUUAAGUGCUUCAUUGCCGCUGUGGUCCCUUGUGUUAAUAUAGUUCACAUGUCCAACAAAUCCUCCCGCCCAUUUUUUUUUUAACAGCAGAGGGUAUUUGUGGACUUCUAACAUGCUUACUUGUAGUGGCGGUUCCCUCUGGUGUUAUAGUUUACCAUUUCCUCAACACCCAUGGCAUAAUCACAGAGGGGACUAGGGACUGUUAGUGUACUAAAUUGCACCUGUGAUUUUUCUGUUCAGUAGGAUCCCAUAGUACCUCCUUUGGGGCUGUUAAGUGCUUUAUUGCAGCUGUGGUCCCUUCUGUGUUUCCGGUUUACCAUCUCCACCCCUCCUACUUUUCCUUCACCACAGAGGCUACUUGAGAGUGUUCAAAUGCACAAUUGCAGCUGUGGUCUCUUCUGAUGGUAUAAUAUGCCAUACUAUCCUACUCUUUGGCAUUACUGCAGUGAUUAGCAGAGGGUAUUUGGGACUUCUCUUAUGCUUACUUGUAGUGGCGGUUCCCUCUGGUGUUAUAGUUUACCAUUUCCUCAACACCCAUGGCAUAAUCACAGAGGGGACUAGGGACUGUUAGUGUACUAAAUUGCACCUGUGAUUUUUCUGUUCAGUAGGAUCCCAUAGUACCUCCUUUGGGGCUGUUAAGUGCUUUAUUGCAGCUGUGGUCCCUUCUGUGUUUCCGGUUUACCAUCUCCACCCCUCCUACUUUUCCUUCACCACAGAGGCUACUUGAGAGUGUUCAAAUGCACAAUUGCAGCUGUGGUCUCUUCUGAUGGUAUAAUAUGCCAUACUAUCCUACUCUUUGGCAUUACUGCAGAGGGUACUUGGAACUGUCAAAAGUACAUAAUUGCAGCUGUGGUUCCUCUGUUAGUAUAGUUCCACAUUCCCUCCUACUUUGCAUCACAGUAGAGGAUACUUGGGACUGUCAAUUUACUUAAUUGCACCUGUGGUAUCUGUUAGUGUAGGAACCCUGUCAUUCUUACUCCCUUUGCAUUAUUGCAGAAGUUAUUUUGGACUGUUGAAGUGCUUAGUUAGUGCCCUGGUUCCUUCCAUUCCUCUAAUUUAGCAUUCCCUCCUACUUCCUUUGCAUUAUAGCAGAGGGUUCUUGGGACUGUUGACUUGCUCAGUUGUAGCUGUGGUCCCUUAUGUUUUUCUUUUUCCAUCCUUUCCUACUUCCUUUGCAUCGUAGCAGAGGGUAUUUGGGACUGUUAUAGUUCUUAACUGUAGCUUGGUCCCUUUCCUAGUGUAGUUUCCCAUCCCCUCGUAUGCCCUUUCGUUAAAGUAGAGAGUAGUGAAUAUCAAGGCCCUGACUUUGGCACUGUUAAUGUGCAUAACUGCAUCUGUCCCGCUUGCUGUGCUGUAAGUGAACACCUCACACAUUUUCCUUGUAUUCACCUAUCCACUUUGUGUAAGACUUUUGUAUUACAUGGUAAUUGACCAGAAAUGUAUUUCAGGUCUGAGUCCCUUGUACCCUUGUUUUGUUACAGCAAGGUGUAUUAAUUACAUGUUCCUUUUUUCUGGGACUAUUUAGCUACAAAGUACCAAUGUUCAUGAGCCCUCCAUUUAAACUAAUACCCCACCCUUCUAUUUUAGCAAGUGAUGUCAAGUACCCAAAGUUGUUCUCUUGGGGAUCUUAAUGUGCAUGUGUCCUUCUGAUAAGCUAAUAUCCUGACUUCUGAGUAUAGUAGCAAGGGGCACUGACCACCAAAAGUCUUCCUCUUGACCAGUCAAUGUGUAGAAUUGCACUAGGGUCCCAUUCCCAUCAUAUCCCCACAUCAUGGCUGCUGAAUCAAACUAUGGCUGCUUCUUCUGUAGUGCAAAUGUGUGUUAUUACAGUAGUCUGUGCUCCCUUGUUGUUAAAAUAGGAUCCUAUUUCCUUGCCCUAUUUACUUUAUGUCAGGGGCUUCUGGCUAGCCAGUAUCCACUCAGAAUGAUUGUCGAUACCGACAUUUGCUCCUGUACCUGUGCAUUGGGUAAGGACUCUCCCCAUUCUACUGAUAUUUCAGUCUACUACUCAGACGCUUACACACUAAUGCCGUUAAUGUGCACAAUCUUAGUUGCCUUGUAUGCAUUUUCAGUUGAAUUAACUGAGUCCAUGGCACCUUUUACAGCCUCUUUGCUUUACUGCAAGGGGUAAUAUCCACUUAAGGUUCCUUUUCCAAACUGUUAGUGUACAUAAUAACAAUUCCAUUAGUACCCUUCCCCUUCACAUGUCCUUUGAAGUACUGGAGGGGAGUUGACCCAUAAGGUCCUCUUACUUGGGCUGCUAAUAUGUGUCAGCAUAUUUAUCUGAGUCCCUGUGCACUAGACAAAGAUACCUCCUCUCCCCACUCCCUUUGUGACAACCAAGGAGUGUCCCCUCCCCAAGAUGGUUGCACUUGGGCAGUCAAGAUGCUCAAUUGCAAGUGCCCUCAGCCAUUCACCCUGGACAUUAAUAUGCGUAAUUGCACAUGGCUCGCCCCAUAUGAGUAAGAUCCUGGCCUCUCAGACCCCUCUUGCAUACAGCAGGGGUGCUGGCCGCAGAGGCCUCUCUUCGUGGCCUGUUGCUAUUUGUGCGGUUAUGUUUGAAUUCCUGUGCACUGGGCAAGCCCACCCCUCACCCCUUCCCUCAAUUGCCCCCUCCCCAAGAUGGUUGCACUUGGACAGUCAAGAUGCACAACAGCAAGUGCCCACAGCCAUGCACCCUGGUCACUAUAAAGCACAACUGCACAUGGCUCGCCCCGUAUGACAAAGAUCCACCCUCUCACAACCUCUUGCAUACAGCAGGGUGCUGGGCCGCAGAGGCCUCUCUUCGUGGCCUGUUGCUAUUGCGCGGUUAUGUUUGAAUUCCUGUGCACCGGAACAAGCCCACCCUCGCCCCACCCCUUCCCUCCCACUUGCCCCUCCCCAGACAGCUGCACUUGGACAGUCGAGAUACACAUGGCAAAUGGCCACAGCCAUGCACCUGGGCAUUAGUAUGUGCACAUGGCUCGCCCUAUAUGAAUAAGAUCCACCCUCAGAAGCUCUUGCAUACAGCAGGGGUGCUGGCCGCAGAGGCCUCUCUUCUUGGCCUGUUGCUAUUUGUGCGGUUAUGUUUGAAUUCCUGUGCACUGGCCAAGCCCACCCCUCGCCCCCACCCCUUCCCUUUCAUUGCCCCCUCCCCAAGACGGUUACACUUGGACAGUCAAGAUGCACAAUGGCAAGUGCCCACAGCCAUGCACCCUCGUCACUAAUAAGCAUAAUUGCACAUGGCUCGCCCCAUAUGAGUAAGAUCCUGGCCUCUCAGACCCCUCUUGCAUACAGCAGGGGUGCUGGCCGCAGAGGCCUCUCUUCGUGGCCUGUUGCUAUUUGUGCGGUUAUGUUUGAAUUCCUGUGCACUGGGCAAGCCCACCCCUCACCCCUUCCCUCCAAUUGCCCCCUCCCCAAGAUGGUUGCACUUGGACGGUCAAGAUGCACAACAGCAAGUGCCCACAGCCAUGCACCCUGGUCACUAAUAAGCACGAUUGCACAUGGCUCGCCCCGUAUGAGAAAGAUCCACCCUCUCAGAACCUCUUGCAUACAGCAGGGGUGCUGGCCGCAGAGGCCUCUCUUCUUGGCCUGUUGCUAUUUGUGCAGUUACGUUUGAAUUCCUGUGCACCGGACAAGCCCACCCCUCGCCCCCACCCCUUCCCUCCCACUUGCCCCCUCCCCAAGACAGCUGCACUUGGACAGUCGAGAUGCACAAUGGCAAGUGCCCACAGCCAUGCACCCUGGGCAUUAGUAUGUGCACAUGGCUCGCCCCAUAUGAACAAGAUCCACCCUCUCAGAACCUCUUGCAUACAGCAGGGGUGCUGGCCGCAGAGGCCUCUCUUCUUGGCCUGUUGCUAUUUGUGCGGUUAUGUUUGAAUUCCUGUGCACCGGACAAGCCCACCCCUCACCCCCAUCUUUGCCUUCCCAUUGCCCCCUCCCCAAGACGGUUACACUUGUACAGUCAAGAUGCGCAGUUGCAAGUGCCCACAGCCAUGCACCCUGGGCAUUAGUAGGCAUAAUCACACAUGUUUGAACCUAUUUAAAUAAGAUCUUACUCUGUUAGUCCUUUGUAGUAUAACAUGGGGACUGAUCACUAAGGCCUCCUCAUGGCUUGUUAAUGUGAGUAAUUAUAUUUUUCAUGUGCCUGGACUUGAUAAGGACUUCCCUCUCUUUAGUUUUUGUUUUAGCUAGGAGUACCCACUACUUGAAGAUUCUUAUAUUUGUACAAGGUAUAUUUUUCUAGUUGACUACAUGGGACAUUAUUGUACGUAAUUGCCACUAUUGCCCUCCAUUUGAAUUAUAGGAGGGCUGCUGUCCCAUUCGUCUUCUCUUGUCCUGCCAGUGUACAUAAUUGCAUUUGUCUGAGUUCUUAGACCCCCUCACCACUGCCAUCUGAAGUCAUAUGCUUUCCAGUAGGGUGCCCACUGCUAAUACCUGAAAACAAAGACAGUUAAUGUGCACAAUUGCCGUUUUCUACAACCCUAUCACUUAUCAGGAUUAUUGUACCUCCUUUGUUCUGAGACUACCACUCCCCACCCACCCCUGCAACCCCAGCUACCUUCGGAAUGGACCACUAAUAUGCACUAUUGGAAUUGUCUUCAUCAGUAGACAAAAUCAUACCCCUCAGCUUUCCUUGCGGACUGUUAAUAUGUGUAGUUGCAGUGCACACUGCUCAGUAUUCUUUCACUUGGAAAGUUAAAGUUCAUGUUCACAAAUGCAAUUAUUCUAAGUAAGUCUUGUGCCAGAACCCCUGUACCUUCUGCUUUAGAGUAAGUCAAUGCUGUGGACCUAAUGCUCUUUUGUACUUAAAUAUGCAUAACUGCAUUUGCCCAUCUGUUCUCCUGGACUGGGUUUGCAUCCCCCUUUACCCCCUUUGCCUCACGGCCAUGUUAACAAUGAAUGAACUCUUCUCCUGAGAGUAUUAGUGUGCAUAAUUGUAUUUGUCUGUAGACCUGUACAGUGGGAAAGGAUUUUAUGCUUCUACCAUUGCCUUUGUAUUGUUGCUGAGGAGUGCUAACUAUCUUUACCUCAGCUUUGGGACUGUUCAUAUGCACUAAUAACAAUGAUCAAAAUACUGAUCGUUAAAUAAGACCCUUUUACCUUUCAUAUACCUUUCAUCAGGAGUAUAGACUAAGGCCCCUUUCUCUGACUGUUAAUGUGAAUAUUUGCAGUUCUCUAUUUCCAUCCUGUUAGAGUAGCAUACUUAACACCCCCUUUGCAUUACUGCAGAGACUACCACUCCCCACCCACCCCUGCAACCCCAGCUACCUUCGGAAUGGACCACUAAUAUGCACUAUUGGAAUUGUCUUCAUCAGUAGACAAAAUCAUACCCCUCAGCUUUCCUUGCGGACUGUUAAUAUGUGUAGUUGCAGUGCACACUGCUCAGUAUUCUUUCACUUGGAAAGUUAAAGUUCAUGUUCACAAAUGCAAUUAUUCUAAGUAAGUCUUGUGCCAGAACCCCUGUACCUUCUGCUUUAGAGUAAGUCAAUGCUGUGGACCUAAUGCUCUUUUGUACUUAAAUAUGCAUAACUGCAUUUGCCCAUCUGUUCUCCUGGACUGGGUUUGCAUCCCCCUUUACCCCCUUUGCCUCACGGCCAUGUUAACAAUGAAUGAACUCUUCUCCUGAGAGUAUUAGUGUGCAUAAUUGUAUUUGUCUGUAGACCUGUACAGUGGGAAAGGAUUUUAUGCUUCUACCAUUGCCUUUGUAUUGUUGCUGAGGAGUGCUAACUAUCUUUACCUCAGCUUUGGGACUGUUCAUAUGCACUAAUAACAAUGAUCAAAAUACUGAUCGUUAAAUAAGACCCUUUUACCUUUCAUAUACCUUUCAUCAGGAGUAUAGACUAAGGCCCCUUUCUCUGACUGUUAAUGUGAAUAUUUGCAGUUCUCUAUUUCCAUCCUGUUAGAGUAGCAUACUUAACACCCCCUUUGCAUUACUGCAGGGGCUGCUGACCACAUAAAAUUUCUCCUGGGACUGUAAAUGGGCAGAAAGGCAAUUUUCCUCCCUGGCCUGGUUAGGCAAACACUCCCAGCCCCAAUUUCCCGUGAUAUAUACAAGUUAAAACAUCACACUAUGCCAUGAAUUUGUCCACCAGCUGCCCACACUCCUGUUCCUUUUGCAUUGCUCCACUUUAUAAAAUUCCAAGUAAUCAUGGUCUUACCUUAUCCACUCCCACCUACUGCCUGUUCUUGAAACCUGCUGAACUAUUUCAAGUAUCCGUAUGUCCAACCAUUAAAUAAGACUGUGCUCCCUCCACCCCCUGCCCCUGCCCUGCCCCUUUGUUGCUGGGGAAUGUUUAGCGGGCAAGUCCCUUCCUCUUGGGUUAAAAAAGUUAACAGUCUCAGAUGUCAUUGGUUUACCUACUUGGUAUUGUUACAGUGCUUCAGCUGCACUUAUCUUCAUCCUGCCCAUCAGACAUGGACCCUUCCACGUCCUUCUUUGCAUUGCUUCUGAGCAGUGCUGACUACCCAAAGCCCCCUGUGUUCUUAAUUAACACAGUAAUGUCCCAUUUUUCAGCCCAUCGGCCCAAGAUCUCCAUGUUGUGUAUGUGCGGUGUUGACUACCAAAAGCAGGCCGAAACUCGGUGGAUGGACCCUCCUUCCUUUUCCUGCAUUUGUUAAUGAUUCCAACACCAGUCGUCAAAUUCUGGGGGCAGGAACCAUCCUUGCCCACCUCUGUUACUGCUUUACUGGGCAAAAUGCCCAAGAUAAGCCAGGCCCACAGAACUGGAUUGCUGUCUUUUAUUUUGGAUGUUCAGUAGUUACCAUUAUCAGUUGAAAAUUGUCUCCCCAGGAAAGAAGUUAGCGUUGUCUCUUUCCUGAGCAGAGUGCCUGGCUGUAAAUCUCUCAUCUUAUAUAUUGCUAUUGUAAAGUGCCAGUUGCCAGAGGCAACCAAAAGUUGCUAUUAAUUUUUUAUUUUCUAAAGAAAGGUAUCUGGAAUAUCAGGUGGAGUUGAUAACCUGGUCAUUAAAUAUUUGAAGUCCUAAAACCCAUUUAUAUCAUGUACCUAAUGACCAGUGUCUCUCAUUUUACUAAGGGUGGUGGGUCUGCGGAUAGACCACUGUGACUCUUGCUACUUUAUUAUUGCUCAAGUUAGUGAGUUUUCAAGUGAAACUCUUAAAGACCGGUACCUUUGGGCUCUACCACCAUUCAUUUUUAGAAAAACUAUGGAAACUUUAUAGUCCUUAAAUUUCUUCAUCUGGAGCACCAACCAGUCCAGUCCUUAUUUAUUUCAAUAAGAUUGUUAUAAAACAAUUAUAUGAGAGAAUGAACAUAUGCUGAGGUGCUUUUGAAAACCAUAGAUCACCUUCUAUGAUUAAUCUAUUACAUAAAAUGCACCCUGUUUUAAUUAUGCUAAUUCUAAAGUAUUCCGAAGCACCACACUCAACUGAGGAUUUAGAACUGAUGGGACCAGUUUUUCUUUGUUAUAUUAAAAGAAAGAUCUUUUUGGGGUAUAAUUUUUAGCAGUGAGUUGUUGCCUGAUAAAAGUGAAUCAUAUUCCAGCCUCUUGUAUACAGGCUGUUUGGUAGCAGAGAAAAUUUAGUAAGGAACUGCUGAAACAAGUACCUAGUUAUCAGAACAGCAGUUCUUUGUAAUCCCUGAAAAAGGAUACUAUUCCUCUCAGAAGGAUGCCCAAACAUCCGCCCAGCUUUGAACUCUAACGACCUUUCCUCUGACCGGAUGCCAAAAGAUCCGCCCACUCUGGCUCUUUCUCAACUGGAUGAAUUCUGAUCCGGUUUUCUACCCGUUCUCAAGAGGAAGGAUGGGCCAGCCUGCACCCGACAGCAUCCAAAGGACAUUUUCACAUGAGGACUGCAAGCAGCUCCAAGAAUCUCCACGUUCAGCAGAUCUUUCAUUUUGAGAAUCUGGAUAAUCUCCAGUUAAUCCAAGAGGAUGACUUGCAGUUCACCUGGAGAAACAAGAUCUCCCUCAAAAGAAUAGGCCUGUUGCUUUACAGUGGUAGUGACCUGUUCCCUUUGACGGCCCCGAGGUGGAGAUGGGGCUUGAGGACCCUCCAGGGGAAAAGCUCACUACCACUGGGCAACAAUCCUAAUCCGGGAGAGGAGGUUCUACCAAGAUUCUUCCUGGGCUGAGGAGCGCAUGGACAAUACCCGCCACAUUUGUGUUAUUGGUCUUGGGUACAUCAUCAUUCUGGAGCCUCUGGUCUGCAACGAUCUCCCUUGUGGUCCUUGUACAACCUUUGCCAAUAUUUACUUACUUCAAGAUGCCUUGGCACGUCCUUGGGAUAAACGAAACAAAUUGCUUGGGAAGACAAAUAACAUUUGCAUCUUUUUAAGCCAUGAUGGAAGCCUCACGACUCUGAAUGGGAACCUGAACAGAAAUGGCACAAAGUUACAUUGCACCAGGCAAGAGCUAAAGAAACAGGACCCGGCAUACUCUAGCUCUUGAUUGUUUCCUUCAUACCUACCAAAUCAUUAUCCUUCCCAAAAGCAGGGCACAGAGUGUGAAAUUUGAACACACCAAAAGAAGAUCAAAACUUCUGGCACUCUGACACUUUGAAAUAGCACAAUGAAUGUGUAUUUCUUCGUUUGUCCAAUUCUUCCUUGAAUGUCUUGGUCUUUCCUCUCUAUCUAAAGCGUGUCUUACCCAUUUCCAUGAUUCAAAAGGUUUGCCUCACUUUCUUUUUUGUUCCUAAGAGUGGUCUGUGCCUUGUCUGAGACGUCAUUUCUAGCUUUCUCUGUUUUCCCAUUUUUUGCUGAUUCUCUUUGCUGUCCUGUAUCUGGUUGUUCUUUCACUUUUCAUCCCUUUGUGUCUCUGAGUCUCAUGCUGUGUGCUUUUUGCUUAUUUCUUGUUCCUCCUGCUUCACUUUUUCUCUUUGUCAGCUCUGAUUGUGACUCCCUCCCUCUCUUGUUGGUAUGACAUUUCAUCUUUUUCUAAUUCUGGUCCUCAUCUGUUGUUUUUCUUCCUUAGCUCACAUUUCUCUUCUGCAUUUCCUUUCUGCCUCUUGGCUGUCUUCUUUCCUUUUUUCCUGCUUUGUGUGCUUCAGUGUCUCUGCUCUUUGUGAAUUUCCAUUCUAGUGGUCGUCUGUUUUCUUGGGUCUUCUCUUUUCCCUUUCUGCUUUGAGUGUUUCAGCUACUUCAUGAAUCUGUGUCUCCCCCUCUUUGUUUCAUACAAGCCUCACUCCUUGCAUAUUUUUUGUGCCUGUGUGUGCGCUUUUGUGUGUAUGUUUGUAUUCUUUGUGACAAAGGGGCUCCUAGCCCCUCCCCAAUAGGUGCAGAGUGCCAGCUACCAAAACAAGUGCUAUAGAACUGUUCCUGAUGCCAGACUGUCCUGUGAAAUGAUCCAAGACCAAAAGAAGGCCCAAGGGUCUAGACUGAAAGAAGAGCUAAGAUGGUAGAAGGCCCCAGUAGAAGACAGAUGAUUGGAGACUACAGACCUGAGACCUGAAAACUGAAGUAGAAAAAUACAUGUCCCAAAAUAGAUGGAAACCUCAGUCAUGAGAUGUUCCAAAACAGAACCAAAAUGUACAUAAGGUACUACUUGUUGGACAGAAGACUUGAGUUGAAUGGAAAAUGUCUGGAGUCAGAAGGCUGACAACUCUGAGGCUGAAGGACUAAAAUUGUGGACCCAUGGAAGGUUUGAGACCUAAAACAUAGGCCUAAGACCUGAGAUUACAAAGCCUUAGCUCGACGAUCUGAGACCCAAGGAUGGAAUGCCUGAGACACACAGAAAAAGCCAGGACUCAAGCUUCUUUAGAUGGACAGAGGCUCAAGAGGUGGGAAUGCCCAUGACCCAGACCAUAGGAAGAAUAAAAUCCUCAAAAGAGAAAAUCCCAAGAUGAGGACCCUAAACCUCAGCUCUUUUCUGUUGCUAUACUACUUACUCUUGGACAUUUUUCUCAUUUUCCAGUUCUCAUAUCUCUAACUAAGCCUCCUAUUUCUGAGAUGUUGUUAUUACCUUAAACAUAUCUUUAGAUUAUCAGUAUUAUUCCUGGGCUAUCGUAAACAGUUUUUACCAUAGUUUUGAGCCAUUUAUUAACUUUUGAGAGUCUUUUAAACUUCCAUUUCUCUUCAUCUCCAUUCAUCUAAGAGACAUAUGGGUGACAUAUUUCAGUCCUCCCCUUUCCUCUAAAGCUCUAGGCUGAUGAGAAGAGGAAAAGCAUCAGGUUGCUGGGGGCAAAGAUCCCGGCUCUCUAGAAAAAAACUUGAAGUGAUGC